rnacentral:rRNA from 1 species
UACGUAGGGUGCGAGCGUUAAUCGGAAUUACUGGGCGUAAAGCGUGCGCAGGCGGUUGUGCAAGACAGAUGUGAAAUCUCCCGGCUCAACUGGGAGGGUGCGCUAGAAACUGGAAGGCUUGGAGUGUGGGAGAGGUAGGCGGAAUUCCUGGUGUAGCGGUGAAAUGCGUAGAUAUCAGGAGGAACACCUGUGGUGUAGACGGCUUACUGGACCAUGACUGACGCUGAGGCACGAAAGCGUGGGGAGCAAACAGG